rnacentral:rRNA from 1 species
GCAAGUCGAACGCGAAAGUCUCUUCGGAGACGAGUAGAGUGGCGCACGGGUGAGUAACACGUAGAUAAUCUGCCUUCAAGCCUGGGAUAACUAUUCGAAAGGAUAGCUAAUACCGGAUAAAGUCGAUUUACAUAAGUAGAUUGAUGAAAGAUUGCCUCUUCUUGAAAGCAAUUGUUUGGGGAUGAGUCUGCGGACCAUUAGUUUGUUGGUGGGGUAAAGGCCUACCAAGGCAUCGAUGGUUAGCUGGUCUGAGAGGAUGAUC